UACGAGUGCCUCAAGCGUUAUCCGGAAUCAUUGGGCGUAAAGGGCUCGUAGGCGGUCUGUUGCGUCGGGAGUGAAAACUUACAGCUUAACUGUGAGCGUGCUUUCGAUACGGGCAGACUUGAGGCAUUCAGGGGAGAACGGAAUUCCUGGUGUAGCGGUGAAAUGCGCAGAUAUCAGGAGGAACACCGGUGGCGAAGGCGGUUCUCUGGGAAUGUCCUGACGCUGAGGAGCGAAAGUGUGGGGAGCGAACAGG
rnacentral:rRNA from 1 species